rnacentral:tRNA from 1 species
GCCCAGGUGGCGGAAUUGGUAGACGCGUCGGUCUCAAAAACCGAUGUACGUGAGUACGUGCCGGUUCGAUCCCGGCCCCGGGUA